rnacentral:rRNA from 1 species
UACGGAGGAUGCGAGCGUUAUCCGGAUUUAUUGGGUUUAAAGGGUGCGUAGGCGGACUGGUAAGUCAGUGGUGAAAUACUGCAGCUUAACUGUAGAAUUGCCGUUGAUACUGUCAGUCUUGAGUAUGGUUAAGGUAGGCGGAAUGUGUAAUGUAGCGGUGAAAUGCUUAGAUAUUACACAGAACACCGAUUGCGAAGGCAGCUUACUGAACCAUAACUGACGCUGAGGCACGAAAGCGUGGGGAGCGAAC